rnacentral:lncRNA from 1 species
ACGGUCAGAUAAUAGAACAAGUCAUGGAGUUUAAAUAUCUUGGCAACACACUAUCUAUCUACGGAAAGCUCGAAACCGAAGUGGAAUAUCAGGCGAAUAAAGUAAAGAAAGCCGCAGGCUGCCUGAAUGACACAAUAUGGAGAAA